UCCUUGGCAACGGGCAGGGACGAUUCGGAGCCCCGCGCGAGGGAAGGGGGAAGGGGCGGAGCCGGCGGGGGAGGGGCAGGUAGGUGGUGGAGGGGAAAGAGACGCUGAGCGAGAGACAAGAGACAGACAGCAAAGCAGAUGGCCGCGCGAGGGGGCGUGGCCCGGGCGGGGCGUGGGGGACCCCAAGCGUCGCGGGCGCGAGGGAGCCAAUCACUUCCCGCAGCAGCUCUGGGGGCUAGAAAACAAGUGUAAACACAGAGAUUCACGCCCCACGAGCGGUCGCUAGUAUAGGGUAGAAAAGGUGAUUUCCUUUCGAUAAGAAAGUGCAUUUCUAGCGUAGGUUGGAAAGCCGACAGUCCGCAGUCCCUGGCAGUGGGAGGUUGUUUGAGGGGCGCUGCCGGGGGUGGGGGUGGGGCUGAGCGCUGGGUCAGCCCCUCCCCAACCUCCCCCAGCCUCGGGCCAGCCACGAAUGUGGGUGGUUGGGGGGUGAAGGCGGAGGACGGGUGAGGAAGGAAGGGGCUGGGAAAUGCGAAGAGAUUAUUCUGCCUCAGGAACUACAUAAUGGCCGGGAAGGACCGCCAAACAAGACUGCAACCAAUAGGAAGUUGUACGACGCUCCUACAUUUGACUCAACCACAGGAACAAUUGCACCAGAAGGGGCAAAAUGUCCCCCUAAGAGGAAGAGAAGAGAAAACAGCAAUUGCUACCACAGUUCUUCUAUGCUGGGUCUAGAGGGUCCAUUUCUGAGAUGACUUCUCACAUGUCUGGUGCCUGAGCUGAUGGCUAAAGGAUCGUCUCCACUGGGAUGUCCACCAGAGAGCCUCCAUGUGGCCACUCCAGCAUGGCCAUCUCCAGGUUGUGAGCUCAUUGGCAGAAAUAGAUUGUGAUUAUUUCACAACCAGAUCUUCAGAGCCAAGCUCAAGAUGACUGAACUCCUGAUCCUUGAAAUUGGGUUCCAUGUUUGUGAAAUAGAAGCGCUGAUCUCUUGGUCCCUUUCAACUCUGAGGGUGAUGGGGAAGACAUCACAGAUUGGUGACCAUCAGUUGGUGGCAUCACUGGAUUUGUUUUUGAGAAAAGCAGCUUUAAGGACUCAGUGCUGCACAGACAAGUCGGAAGAGGCUGGAAACAGGGAAACAUGUUAAGAAUGCCUGCUGCCGCAUGCUGAGAACCAGAAGACAAAAGCAUGGUGGUGAAUCAAAGUUGCAGUUCAAGCCCUAAAAGAGAAUUUCUAUUAAAAUGGGCAACAGAUGUGAACAAAGAAAAGAAACAGAUCAAAGAUGUGAACUCCAUCCAUGAGAUUAUUUGCAAACACAAAGCAGGAUAUGGUUGACCUCAGAAUAGGAAUUCAGAAAUCUCCCUGCCUGCCUCUUUGCCACUAAGAAAACAGACACUGGUUCCCCAAACCCCUGAUUAAGAAAGAAGCUGGAAGACCAUGCAGAAGUGUUUUCAGACUGUGAAGAAACUGAGGCCUGGGGAGAGGAAGUGAUUUGACCAAGGUGACAUGGUUGCUUCUAUAUGUUAUAAAGAAUUGAUACCUGCUAUCGUGGUGGGACUGUACAAGAGACAGAUUAAGCAUGUUUACAAGACACCACAAGGUGCUAUCCAGUGGCUCCCAUGGGUGUCCAGCCUGCUGACUGAAGAUCUUAGGACUUCUCAGACUCCACAAUCACUGUGAAAGGCUCUGAUCCACUGACUCUGUGACUACAGCAUCCUGAGUAUCAUCUUUUGGGAGCGGUGAUACUACCGACAGUACAAGAGACCAAGGUAUAGUGAUGAUAUAGAUUUCCAGCUGCACCUGCAUCAAAUAAAAGGCAAAUGAGCUUUUGUUAUAUUCACCAGUUUUUCCAGAAUUAUGCUCUCCUCCAGUAAGACCUGCUUUUACUGUUGAAAGAAAAGUUGUGUUGAUAUAGGCAAUUACAGGCAGGUCUUCAUUAUCAGAAAUGUAAGAAAAAUUUAUGCUACUAGAAUACUUUACUUAGAU